CAUCAUUUUAGCCAUUUAAAAGCAUACAAUUCAUGACUUUUGGUACAUUCACAAUAUUGUGUAACCACCAUCACUACCUAAUUCCAGAACAGGAAAUUCUGUACCAGUUAAGUAGUCACUCCCCAUCCCCUGUCCUCCCAGCCCCUGACAACCAUUAAUCUGCUUUUUGGCUGUCUCGAUUUGCCUAUUCUGGAUAUUUCAUAUAAACUAAUGAAUACAACAUGUGAUCUUUUGUUACUGGCUUCUUUCACUUGGAAUAAGGUUUUCAAAGUCCACCCAUGUUGUAGCAUGAAUCAGUCCUUCAUUCCUUUAAUGGCUGAAUAAUAUUCUGUUGUACAUUAUUCAGCCCUAACGAUGGUUGUAUAAUGCAUUCGAAUGUUACACCACAUUUCAUUGAUUCAUUCAAUUCACGCACAUUCAGAUUGCUUCCACAUUUUGGCUGUAAAGAAUAAUGCUGCUAUUAAUAUUCAUGUACAGACAGUCCCUGACUUAUGAUGGCUUAACUUAUGAUUUUUCAACUUUAUAGUGGUGUAAAAAUGAUAUGCAUUCAGUAGAAACCAUACUUCGAGUACCCAUAUGACCAUUCUGCUUUUCACUUUCAGAACAAUAGUCAAUAAAUUACAUGAGAUAUUCAAUACUUUACUAUAAAAUAGGCUUUGUCUUAGACCAGGGGUGUCUAAUCUUCUGGCUUCCCUGGGCCACAUUGGAAGAAGAAGAAUUGUCUUGGGCCACAUAUAAAAUACACUAACACUAAUGAUGGCUGAUGAGCUAAAAAAAAAAUCACAAAAAAGUCUCAUAAUGUUUUAACAAAAUUUACAACUUUGUGUUGAGCUGCAUUCAAAGCUGUUCCUGGGCUGCAUGCAGCCCUCAGGCCAUGGGUUGGACAAGCUUGUGUUAGAUGAUUUUGCCUAACAGUAGGCUAAUAUAAGUGUUCUGAGCAUGUUUAAGUUAUGUUAGGUUAAGCUAUGAUGUUUGGUAGGUUAGGUGUAUUAUGCAUUUUCAACUUAUGAGAUUUUCAGCUUACAAUGGGUUUAUCAUCAGGUUGUAACCUCAUCAUAAGUUGAGGAACAUGUGUACAGAGUUUUUUUGACUAUGCAUAUUUCUCUUAAGUUACACUAAGGGGUGAAAUUUCUGGGUCAUAUGGUUGCUUUAUGUCUAACUUUUUGAGGAACCGUCAGAGUAUUUUCCAGAGUGGCUGUACUAUUGUUCAUUUCCAACAGUAAUGUAGCAGCGUUCCAAUAUUUCCACAUCCUCAACACUUGUUAUAUUUUCAUUCUUCCCAACCUAGUAGUUGUGAACCACAUUUUCUUUAUCCAUUCCCCAGCAGUUGAGGGACAUUUGGGUUGUUCCCACCUUUUUACUAUUAUAAACAACACUACAAAUAAUACCAUGAACAACUGUGUACAACACAGGUGUGUGUUCAAACAAACACUUUGUUUGAACAUAUGCUCUUCAAUCUCUUGGGUAUAUGACUAAGAAUGGAAUGGGUGGGUCAUAUGGUAAUUCUAUGUUGAUUUUUUGAGGAACCACAAAACUAGCUUUUACAGUGGCUGCAUCAUUUUACGUCUCUACCAGCAGUGGGAUUCCUGCAGACUCUCAUCAACAGGCAAUGAAAAGUGAUGAGCAAAUUUUCUUUGACUCUCAUUUCAUUUUGCCUCUUUUAUUUUGAAAUUUAAAUAAUAGACAAAGAGGAGAGUAAGCAUUUUAUAUUUACCACCCAGAAAUGAACAACAUUAGUGCAUUGUUUUGGCUUCAAAUAUUUUUAAGUAAAUAGAACAUAACAGAUUAAAAAACCUAAGCCCCCUUUUCCCCUUUACCACACCUAUUACGUGGCCCCUCUCCAGAGAUAAUGAUUAUCACAAGUUGGUAUCUGUCCUUCUAGACUAUAUCUUAUUAGUAUUACAAAUAUUACAUGUCUCAACAUGUUCUUUAAACUUUAGGUAUGUGCUAUCAUACUGUUUUCAUCCUGCAACUUGCCUUUUUUCUAAAAAGAGCUUUAUUGAGGUAUAUAACUGGCACACAAUAAACUGCACAUAUUUAAUGCAUACAGUUGGAUGAGUUUGGACAUAUGCCUACAUCCAUGGAGCCAUCACCACAGUCAAGUUAACAGACAUAACUAUAAGCUCCAAAAGUUUCCUUGUGUCCCUUUAUUUUGGGAUAUGUGCAUGUAUGGUGAAAACAUUUAACACAAACUCUCAUCUUUAAUAAAUUUUAAAGUGUAUAAUACAGCACUGUUGACUGUGUAUUAAUACGAUGCUAUGUAGAUCUCUUCAACUAAUUCAUCUUGCAUCACUGAAACUUUCCUCUCCCCUGAAACAUGUCUUUAACUGUUUUUUUGAAGUCUGUCCAGUGACGUGCUAGUAAAUGUUUAACAACCAGCUUUUGUGGGGAGGGAAUGAUAUGUAGCUUUUGCUAAUUUCCAUGUUGUAAAUACUCUUAACAUAGCUUAUACCAAGCUAUAGAAGUAACAUCAGCCAGCUCACAAAACUGAAAUGUUAGCAUUUAGUUCUCAUGAGCUAGCUUCAGCAUGCUACUAAAUCCGUCCCUGUUGAUGUGGAGAUCUGAGUUUUGCUUUUUAGUUUUUAUAUGUUAAGACUGUAUCACAAUGUUUUUAUCCAUCACCCUAUUGAUGGACGUCUAGACUAUGUCUAGGGCUUCACUGCUACAAGAUGGUGCUACAGUAAACAUUCUUGUGCAUAGCCCUUGUGCACAUGUGCAAGGAUUUCUGGAGCAGAAGGUAUGUUUACUAGAUGUGGAAACACUGUCCUCUGAAGUAGUUGCCCAGUCCACCCACUUCACAAGCAGUAUGUGAGAGAUCUUAUUUCCCCACAACCUUGGCAAUACUUGGUCUCAUCAGACUUGGUUUUUGCCCAUCUAAAGGUUAUAAUUCCAUUGAUUUUAUACAUAGUUGUCCCUCACUGUGAGAUCCAGUAACUAUUCAUAAUUACCUAUACGCUUAUAAUUUCUUUUUUUCCCCCAUUUAACUCCAGUAUUUGUCUGUCUCUAGUUGAUUGUAAUGAAUGCAAGAGGCUGUUGUGGAGUGUCAAUGCCAGACCCCAAAUAAGGGCAACACGGCUACUUAGCUUCUUUCUGAAUUUAAAAGAAAUGUAUAGCUUUAAUUUGGGAAUUUAGAAACAGAAGCUAAGGUGUCUGUAAGCCUGUAUUAGUUAUUGUAGCCUUUACCUGCAAGCAUCAAAGAACCAUAGCAGCAGUGACUUAAACAAUUGUGAUGGGCAUUUAUUUCAAGCAAUAAGAAGUCUGAAGCUAGUAAAGGAGGCAGUGGUGCCAUCCUGGACCCAGGCUCCUGCCAUUCUUCUCUGCCACCCUUAGCUGUAGGCUGUAAUUCUCACGCUCCUCAUCUCACGGUUGCAAGAUGGCUGCCGCAGCUCUAGGCUUCACAUCAGCGCUCAAGGCGGAAGGAGCAGUGCUUGAGUAGAAACACAAGAGCUUUCACAUAAAUACCUAGAAGCCUUUUGUCAGCAUCACUAACCAGACCUGUGUCACAGGCCACUCAGUGUGUUAGGCAAGUAUUUAAUGGGAUAUAUUUUCCGUCGUCCUCUGAACAAAAUUGUAUUCUGUUAGGAUGGGAAAAGGGAAGAAGGGAAUUAUCUGCAACAAGAGUUAUUUGGAAUGUGGAUUUUAGAGACAUAAUUUUUUCAUAGUAGCAUCAAAUUGGGUGAAUACUGGGAAAUUAUUCAGAGAUAUAUACCAUCCAGAACAAGAACCACCACCACAGAACACACAGUCGCCACAUUCCAUUGAUUUAUAGGCUGCUGUUUUGUUAUUUUCCACUAUCUAUUAGGUAUCUAAAUUUCACUUCUCUUUGUUCCUUUUUGCCAAUUCAAAAGAAUUUAAAAUGUUAGAAUGAACAAAUACUAAUGAGGCGCAUGUUACCUAAGGAUGAGUUUUCAGGCAUUCCUUGUGCCACAAAUAUGAAGAAAACGGAAUCAUUAUAGGCUCUAGGGUGCGGUAGAGAAGCACAUGGGACUAAAACAACUUGGAUUUGUCAUUUACUGUUUUGUUUGUAGGACAAGUCUCUUUUAGUGUCUCAUAUUAUUGACAUAACUCAUGAAUGCUUUUUUCCAGAGUUGAUCACACUUAACAAUAUGUGCAGGCAGGACCGAAAAAAGGUGUGGUGCCUUCCAGCCCAUAAAUCAAAGUUUUCUCUUGUCACUGCCGUGUAAGAAGUGCCUUUUGCCUCCUGCCAUGAUUCUGAGGCUUCCCCAGCCAUGUGGAACUGUAAGUCCAAUUAAAUCUCUUUUUGUUCCCAAUUUUGGGUAUCUUUAUCAGCAGCAUGAAAACGAACUAAUACAGUAAAAGAGAACCCUAAUACAACUCGUCUCUGCUAAAACAAUACAAAAAAAGAGCAAGGGAUGGUGGUACACAUCUGUAGUCCCAGAUACUUGGGAGGCUGAGGCAGGAGAAUUGCUUGAACCUGGGAGGUGGAGGUUGCAGUGACCUGAGAUCACACCACUGCACUUCCAGCCUGGGCAGCAGAGCAAGACUCCAUCUCAAAAAAAAAAAAAAAAAAAAAAGAAAGAAAGAACAUACCUCAGUGUGAUAAGGGCCACAUGUGAGAAUCCUACAGCUAAUAUUAAAUGGGAAAAAAUGGAAAGCCUUUGCAUUAAGAACUAGAAUAAGACAAGGAUGCCCACUUUCACCACUUUUAUUCAACAUAGUACUAGCCAAAGCAAUUAGUCAAGAGAAAGAAAUAAAGGGCAUGCAAAUUGGAAAGGAAGAAGUUGACUUAUCCUUGUUUGCAAACAACGCGAUCUUAUAUUUAGAAAAACCUAAAGAGUCCACCAAAAAAACCUAUUAGAAGUGACAGAUUCAGCAAAGUUACAGGAUAUAAGAUCAACAUACAAAAAUCAGUAAAAUUUCUAUAUGCCAGCAGCCAACAAUCUGAAAAAGAAACCAACAAAGCAAUCUUACAACAUCUACAAAUAAAAUGCCUAGGAAUAAAUUUAGGAGGUGGAAGACUUCUACAAGGAAAACUACAAAACAUUGAUUAAAGAAAUUGAAGAGGAUAAAAAGGGCAAGACAUCCCAUGCUCACUUUUCAGAAGAAUUAAUAUUGUUAAAAUGACAAUACUACCCAAAGCAAUCUACAGAUUUGAUGCAAUUCCUAUAAAAAUACCAAUGACAGUUCUUCACAGAAAUAGAAAAAAAAAAUCCUAAAAUUUAUAUGAAAACACGAAAGACCCCAAAUAGCCAAAGCAAUCCUGAACAAAAUGAACAAAGCUGGAAGCAUCACAUUAUCUGACUUCAAAUUAUACUACAGGCCAGAUGCAGUGGCUCAUGCUUCUAGUCCCAGCACUUUGGGAGGCUGAGGUGGGUAGAUUGUUUGAAGCCAGGAGUUCGAGACCAGUCUGGUCAACAUGGCGAAACCCCGUCUCUACUGAAAAUACAAAAAUUAGCUGGGCAUGGUCGCGGGUACCUGUAAUCCCAGCUACUUGGGAGGCUGAGGCAGGAGAAUCACUUGAACCUGGGAGGCGGAGGUUUCAGUGAGUCGAGAUUGCAUCACUGCACUCCAGCCUGGGCAGCAGAGAGAGACCCUGUCUCAGAAAACAAACAAAUUAAACUACAGAGGUAUAGUAGCCAAAAAAGCAUAGUACUGGUAUAAAAACAGACACAUAGACCAAUGGAACAGAAUGAAGAACUCAGAAAUAAGUCUUUGUACUUAGAGCCAACUCAUUUUCAACAAAGGCACUAAGAACACAUACUGGGGGGGAAAAGAGUCUCCUUAAUAAAUGGUGCUGGGAAAACUGUAUAUCUGUUUGCAGAAAAAUAAAACCGGAUCCCCAUCUUUCAUCAUAUACAAGUAUCAACUCAAAAUGAAUUCAAGACUUAAAUGUAAGACCUAAAACUAUGAAUCUGCUAGAACAAAACACUGAAGAAAUGCUACAGGACAUUGGUUUGGGCAAAGAUUUUUUAGGGUAGGACCGCAAAAGAAUAGGAAGUCAAAGCAAAAAAUAGAAAAAUGGGAUUACAUCAAGCUAAGAAGCUUCUAGACAGCAAAGGAAGGAACAAAGUGUAGAGACAGCCUUCAGAAUGGAAGAACAUAUCUGCAAACUAUCCAUCUAACAAUGAAUUAAUACAUAGAAUAUGUAAGAAAUGUAAACAAUUCAAUAGCAAAAUAACAAUCUGAUUUUUUUUUAAUGGGCAAAAGAGCUGGGUAAAAAUUUCUCAAGACAUACAAAUGGCCACAGGUAGAUUACAAAAUGCUCAACAUCACUAAUCAUCAGGGAAAUGCAAAUCAAAACCACAAUGAGUUAUCAACUCACUUCAGUUAGAAAUCUAUUAUCAAAAAGAGAAAAAA
rnacentral:lncRNA from 1 species